GCUACUUUUGCCUUAGUGGCCGAAUUAACAAUUGUUUGUCUACUCGUUUCUUGGCCUCUUCACCAUUUGGAUGUAAAAAAUACUUUCUUAAAUGGGGAUCUCAACAAAACUAUUUAUAUGGAUCCUCUUCAGGGCUUUGGGGCUAAGGGCCAGUAUUGUGGUGGGGUAUGUCACCUACGAAAAUCUCUUUAUGGCUUUAAAAAAUCUCCUCGAGCAUGGUUUAGUCGCUUCAGUGAGUUAGUGCUAUCUUUGGGCAUUGUUCGUUGUCAUUCUGAUCAUACAUGUUUUGUUUAUCCCUGUUCUAAUGGGUGGUAUGUCCUUCUUUCUAUGUAUGUGGAUGAUAUUAUUAUUACUGGCGAGAUGCACUUGAUAUUAUUAAAAGACGAGUCCUCUACAAUAUUUUCUGGGUAUUGAGGUUGCUUGCUCACAUUGUGGGAUCUCCUUAUCGCAGCGUAAGUAUACUCUUGAUCUUCUCAAGAAUACCGAUAUGUUAGAUUGUUGUUCAGCAUAUUCUCCUAUGGAACCUAACCUUAAGCUCUUAGUUGAGUCGGGAGAGCUACUGCCAAAUGCAACUGUUUAUUAGUAUCUUAUGGGAUGACUCAUUUAUUUGACCAACACUCGCCCUGCUAUUACCUUUGUAGUGAGUAUUGUGAGUCAGUUUAUGCAUGUACCUUGGACUUCUCAUCUUGAUGCGGUUCACCAUACUCUUCUUUAUCUUAAGACAUGUCUUGUACUUGAACUAUUCCAUACUUCAGGAGUAUAGUAUGGAGUCUCAUGCUCUACAAAUGCAGAUUAUGUAGGAUCUAAGGAUGAUAGGCAGUCUACCACUAUUUUUUUGUACUUUCUAUGUUAAUCAUCUCUUAUCAUGAAAAAACAAGAAACAAGCUAUUGUAUCUCGUUCUUCAGCUGAGGCCGAAUAUCAUGUUAUGGCCCAAGGUAUUAGGAAUUCUAUCCCUACAUGUCUAAAUAUUUAAUUAUUAUUUGGAAUAAGAAUUCAUUUUAUCAUAGAUUGGAUGUUGUUCUUAUAUCAUUAGAUAAUAUGUCCCUAAGUUAUCUAGAGAUACGAUAAAUGUGUGGUAAUGAGAUUUACACAUAUUAAUCAUUGAUCCUAGUAACUUUAUUUAUUUCGUAGUUAGUGAUGAGUUUGGAUGUCUCAUCUGCGAAGAUUAUAAUAAUGUUAACCUCUAUUUAAUAGGAUGAUUAUCUCAACCAUCAUAGUAGGUAAUUGUAGAUCAAAGUAUUGGUGUAUGAUGGGAUGCACUGAAUCGAAUCGUCGUAACAAUAUAAUUCAUAUAAAACUGUCAUUUAAUGAUGAAGUCUUACAUACGCUAUUUGUAAUUGAUUCUUAAUCCCGAGAGAAUGGUGAACUUAAGUUCUUGACAUUAUUCACUUUGAUUUACCAAUGAGUGAGACUAAUUGAGGUUAACACCUCAAUAUAUUAAGUGGUCACUAUUAGGUUUGUAAGAAUACUUAUUUAUCAAGAUGGAAUCUCACUCUCUUCUAGAAGAGAACUGGUAUCACUUGUGAGUUAAUUCAUUAAUUUAGUUAUUAAAAUCCGGAUCCGGUCUUUUCAGUAAAUUGUUUAUUGAAAUGAAGACUUAUUAAUUUGGUGACUAAAUGAAAAAUGAAUUAUAAAUCAUAAGGGGUAGAAAUAAUUAGGGUUUGAUAGAUAGUUAAUUAAUCCAAACCUAAUUAUUGAUACGCAUGAAGAGAAGUUUGAUUACAGUAAUAAAAUAGUAAUAAAUAGUAUUUUAAUUGAAAUCAAACUAUUUUAAAUAGCGAUAAACUAGUGUAAUUAAUUUGAAUUAAUUAAAUUACUAAACUAAGUUAUGUGAUAACUUGGACUUUUAGUAUUUUAAUUGAAAUCAAAUUAUGACUCCAUAAGAUCUCUUUCCUUACCCUAGUUGGAAACCUAACCUAUAUAUAUGAUAUGUGGUCUACCAAUCCUUUAGAUUAAUUCUUUGCAAAAUUUUUGAGAGAAAAUCUGAGAGCCCAUACUCUAAAAGAAUUGGUUAGGGUUGAUGCAAAAAUGAGAGAAGAUCAAAGGGUUUAGGAAACUAGAAAAAUAAAGUUCUAAAGUGUUUAGGACUAGGGUUUUAUGACAAAGAAGCCUGGAAUCUACAAACAGCAGGUGCGGUGAGGCAGCAAGUGCGUCAACAGCUGGUCCACACAUAGCAGCUGCGAUAGCAUUAGCUUGCAUUUUAUCCUUGAUUUUCUCAUGAUAUUCAAAGUAUCUCAAAACCCCUCUUGAUCAAUAUUGUACGGUUUACAUGGCUUUAAGAUUUGGAAAUAAAAAAUUUUAAAAACGUAUUUCAGCAUGCCGAAUACGAUCCCCUUCACAACGCACUUGUGAACUCUUGUGGCUUCUCUUAUUAUUGUUAGGAUUAGGCUUUUCAGAGAAAGACUCGCCUCUUUUUCUCUAUCUACUCUCAGCCAACCCAACAUAAUAGAAGCUUUUAGCUUUCGAAUCAUGAAAGAGGAAAUUUUUUCAUGAGGGUUC
rnacentral:lncRNA from 1 species